UACGUAGGGUCCGAGCGUUGUCCGGAAUUACUGGGCGUAAAGAGCUCGUAGGUGGUUUGUCGCGUUGUUCGUGAAAACUCACAGCUCAACUGUGGGCGUGCGGGCGAUACGGGCAGACUUGAGUACUGCAGGGGAGACUGGAAUUUCAGGUGUAGCGGUGAAAUGCGUAGAUAUCUGAAAGAACACCAGUGGCGAAGGCGGUCAACUGGCUUUUAACUGACGCUCAGGCACGAAAGCGUGGGUAGCGAACAGG
rnacentral:rRNA from 1 species